CAGGCACGCCCCACAAAGGAUACUCUUUAGGUCAAGAAGACAAGGAAUUACAACUCUAUGUAGGAUUUUAAUUAAGGCCAUCUCUAAACCGUCUCCUCUCCUCCAGCCACUCUUAUUUAGGCCUUCACAUAUUUUACACGUAUGACUUCAAUAGCCUGCUAUCUCGGGGUCCAAACAGAAAAACAGAAACCACAGAAAGUAUCCGAACAAGAGGAACUAAAAGCAGGAAUUUGGUUACACCAGUGUUAGAAGAGCUGAGAAUCCACAGAGGUGACAGAGAUUCACAGCAGCAGGAAGUUGCUACCUUCCUUAGAUUUCAGGGGCAAAGGGGGGAGAUAACAUCACUGGAGUCCCAAGUCUGGAACCAUGUGGGGGAAGCUGAAAUCAUGGAAGGCCUAUACAGAAAGGAGAGAGAGAGAGAGAGAGAGAGAGAGACAGGAACAGAGGGAGACUGAGGGAGAGGGAGAGAGCGAAGGAGGAGGAGGAAGGAAAGGAACAAAGACACAGAGUAUGCCGGCUUCCCUCUGAAGCUAGGGAACAGGAAUAAAAAGACAGGUAAGGGAUGGGUUUAGUACCAACAGACCCAACCAAGCCUGAUUCAACUCCUAAAUUAUUUCACUGCCUCUCAUCUCUCCCUUGCAGAAUCUGCCCACCACAACACUGCCUGAGUGAUCGAACACGCAAGCCUGAUAUUGUCAACCCCACUUUAAAUUCUUCUUUGGCUUCUACUGCAUUUUGGAGAAAUGACCCUCACCUCCAGCCCAGCAUACAAGGUUCAUCUCCACCUGGAUGCAUUUAAUGAAAGCGGACCAAAGCUACUGAAGUUCUCACUCUGCAAAGGCAGCAAAAACAAAGAAUACAAUGUUAUUCAAUCAAUGAUGUGGAUCGAUAGAGCCUUAAAUCUGGAGUCUGAAGACCGAGAACAAUACCUAGGUUUCAAAAGGACGCAGAAUGUGUUCCAACUUCCCUCUGAUACAGUUCUAAAUUAAGCGCCGUGGAAGGAAAUUUAGAUGAAACUUCUUGGGUGCUUUUGCAAAAAGGUUACCCACAAGGCUGUAUGCAUGACUGGAAAUGAGGUGGCUUCAGAAAUGCAGCAGGUAGGUCCAUCAGAAGGUAGAAACCCCCAGGUCAGGGAAACAGGGGAGACCUGAGCCAAGCAAGGUCAUGACAGGCCUCCUCUCUCCUCUUCUAAAUGGGAAAAGAGGGAAUGUGAUUUAAAAAAAAAAAAAAAAAAAAAUCUCAGCCCUGGGGAUCUCCAGGGGACAUUUGUUUUGAUGAGAUUUCAGGCCUGAUUUUCAAGAAUAAGGAGGUGCUAACUAUUUGUAAAAGCUCCUAAGACAGCAUGAUCUCUGGCCCUUAGGAGAUUUAUCUUUUAUUUAUACAGAGUAUUUUUAAAAACCUGUUACUGUAACAAAGAAGCAACUGAGAGGCUUCAUGUAAAAGGCAACACAAUGUUUCUAGAGCCUACAUCUGAAGCAAAUAUGUGCAUAAUAUCAUAAAACAAAUGAGCUGAAGGAUAGGUAGAAGGUUUCAGGCAGUCACUUCAAUACACAUGUAAUCUGGCGCUCUUAGGCCACAGGGAAGAAGAAUCUGAACACAAGCCAUUGUCACUGAGGAACGAGAGCGGUCUGGAGAAGGAAACUGACUUGUAAACAUACGUAGUUCAGCUUUGAGUGACAUGAGAUGGGGUAAAGGAACCAUGACUCAGAGGAAAGAAAAGUAGCUACUUUCCUGAUGGGAUCAAUUAAGGCUCUCCUGAGAAGGUGGUUGGAGUUUGGGCUAGAAAAAAAAGGCAUCCUCUUAACCUCCCAUCUAUACUAAUAUAUUAGCUAUUUAUAGCUGCAUAACAAAUUACCAUGAAAUUUAGUGGCAUAAAAUAAAAAUAAACAUCUAUUAUCUCA
ensembl:lncRNA